AGGGGACUGAGGAGGUGUGGAAGGAGGGAACUGCAGGGCCAGAGGAGAACUGCAUGCAGGGUCUGCCCAUUCCCACUUUGGCGGUUGGUCUAUCUGCAUCUGGGUUGUCUGUUUUAGGAUGAAGGCAGGAAAUAGUAUGCUGGAGUAAAUCUCUGCAGCCAAUACCUAGCAUCCAGCCAUCAGAAAUGGUGUCUUAAGAGGCAAUGUGCAAGAAUGAAUGAAGCAUUGAUUAAGCACUUUUGUUGCUGAAGCUCUGAGGAGGAAAAGGAGUUUCAGGUGCUGAAGUGAUCUUCUGGGGACUGGGGAGUUCACCCUGAUUGCAGUUGAGAUGGUAUAGACAGCCAGUCCUGCAUGGAAACCCUGAGAAUCCAGGGUGCCUGGGACUCGAGCCUGAGAUGGAUGUUGGACUUGGAACAGAAGACUGUGCUGCAUGGGAAAAGAGCUCAGCUAUGAAGAGAAUCCUCUUCCCCUCCCCAGAGCCUGAUGUGGUGCAGGGGGAGUGGUACAUUUGUAUAUUUGUGAUCAAAUCUUUUGAAGUCACUAUUUCUUUGUAAAAAGUCCAGUGUUACAUAAUGUGACACAAAGCAGAGGCAGCACAAUCUGUGAAUUACAACUAUGUAUAAAAAAGAAAACAAGGCUAAACAUACUAAAUUUUCUUUGGUUAUAAAA